rnacentral:lncRNA from 1 species
UACAUUACUUUGAGAUUAGACUUUUCUAACCAAAAUGAAAAUUAAUUUUACAGCUUUCCUAGCUUUUGGAAAUGAAACUACCAGUAGUGCUUCAAAACACACAGCAUCUAUUCUAGGGGAGAACUCCUGCAGUGCCUUGUGGUUCCUCUCCUGUGGUGGACAAUGCUGCUCUUUGUGUCCCUUCAUUCUACAGUAAUGGAAAGAAGGCCAAGAUACAGAUUUUACACAGUCCUUCUGUGAGUGGAAGAAGUUCUGUGGGCUGGGAUCCAGAGUAAGUGGCAGCACACUGCCAAAAUGAGCAGAAACCCACAUGCCAGCAAGAUCCUGAGGGGCUGGGAAAAACUAAUCAGUGGAUUACCUCAGAAAAAUCAAAGCUCAGGAAACAUAAACUGCAAAGAGAAUGGAAAACUCCAGCUGUACGGAAGAGAGCAUGAAAAGAACACUGAUGACUUACAGAUAUCAUUAUGGAAGCAGCAGUGUAAAAUAAAAAUAGUCUUGUAACAUGCAUAUUUGAUUAACAAAGUGAUCUUGUACUUCAGUUGUAAUAAACUAACAGACGUAUCUCA